UUUCAUGUCACAAUCAGCAAGUGUGUAGCCAUGGUGACCAACACUGCCAUUAUUUACUUGAUUGUGAUGCUUGUAUGGAGCCCGCAAGUGUCCAGCCAAGACGCCAACUGUCCCCAGGACUGUACCUUAGUGAAUAUAGCACGAGAAGCAAUUAGCAAUCUGACAACUAGGUACAACAUAUAUUA